GCCUCUGUAGCUCAGUUGGUUAGAGCGCUGCACCGGAAUCGCAGGGCCGUAGGUUCAAUUCCUACCAGAGGAG
rnacentral:tRNA from 1 species